AUUCAAUUGAAAUGCUAAGACCGUUGAUAUAUCUCGAUCUUCUGAAUCAAUAAUCUCCUCUCACAACUUUGAAAAAUCUUACGUUCUAUUAAUUGAGUUGAUCGUGUUAUUUUGCACUCAUUUGAAGAAUAGACUCAUGGAAAUCAUAUCAAUUUGAUGUUGGAUGACACAUAUAGGAGGAUGCUCGACUGGUAGUUGAUGAUAUUCCUAAAUUCUUACAAAAAAGGCUCUAUCUACUCCAGCACAUUCAUAGGUUGAUUAUCUUAAGUAUUUCAAUUUGAUGAUAAAAACAAGCUACUAAGUAGGCAUAGAGUAUUACUAGCGGUCAUCAUAGUUAAGAAAAAGAAAGGCUAAACUAUACAUGUCAUCCAAGAAACAAAAAUGUAUACAGCCAUCUCAAUCUACUAUAAAAUAUUGAAAUUUAAGAAACCACAAAGAAAAUCAGAUGUGUGUUAUAAGAUAAAACUAACAAAAAUCACAAAAUCAUCAAUAAAAAUGAUACGAUUCGUCAACACAAUUCGAACCCAACAUGAUUGUUAUGAGUUUGGGUUGAUUAGAAAUGGGUUUUGGUCAAAUUCGUGUUGACCUGUAUAACUCAUCUAAUAAAUAAAUAGUAUUUUUAUCAACUUAUAUAAUACAAAUUUGACCUGAAAUGAUCCAUUUAACAAUCUUAUUGAUUAACCUAAUUAUAUUUUUAAACUAUUUAAUUCAUAUUUACCUUAUUUUAAUUUUGUUUUUAAAUAAAUAUGUUAACUAAAUUAUAAACAUGUUUGAUUAAGACAUAAAUCAUAUAGAUAUAUAUAUAUAUAUAUAUAUAUAUAUAUAUAUAUAUAUAUAUAUAUAUAUAUAUAUAUAUAUAUAUAUAUAUAUAUAUAUAUAUAUACGAAUAUAAAAAGAGAUAAAUAAAAUAUACAAAUGUGAUAUCUAUUUAAUAAAUAUAUAGCAUUUUGCUCUAUAUUUUUUAUACAAAUAUUAUACAUGAGAGAUAUAGAUAGACAUAUGAAAGAGAAUGCCUAAGUGAGACAAGACAUGUAUACAAUACACACACACAUACAAAUCACCACCCCGAGACAAAGAUUAUGUUUAGUUCACAAAGAGUAUUAAAGAAAGAAAAAGUGAUAAAGAAAAUAUUUUUCUCAUAUUUUCUUUCUCUAUAAAAAAAUAAGAGAGAAACUCAUAUAUAAAUAAANNNNNNNNNNNNNNNNNNNNNNNNNNNNNNNNNNNNNNNNNNNNNNNNNNNNNNNNNNNNNNNNNNNNNNNNNNNNNNNNNNNNNNNNNNNNNNNNNNNNAUAUAUGUACAAAAAAAUAUACACAUGUGUGUAAGACAUAUAUCAUAUAUAUAUAUAUAUAUAUAUAUAUAUAUAUAUAUAUAUAUAUAUAUAUAUAUAUAUAUAUAUAUAUAUAUAUAUAUAUAUAUAUAUAUAUAUACGAUUAUCAAAUGAGUUAAAUGAAUUAUACAAAUGUGUUAUCUAUUUAAUAAUUAUAUAGCAUUUUGGUCUAUAUUUUUUAUACAAUUAUUAUUCAUGUUAGGUUUAGAUUGACCUAUGUAAUAGAAUGCCUAAGUUUGACAUGACAUGAAUACAAUCCACAAACACAUACAAAUCACCACCCCUAGACUAAGAUUAUGUUUAGUUCACAAAAAGUAUUAAGGAAAGAAAAAAUGAUAAAGAAAAUAAUUUUCUCAAAUUUCCUUUCACUAUAAAAAAAUAAGAAAGAAAAUCAAAUAUAAUUAAAAUUAAUUAAAAAUUCAUAUAUUUUUAACUAUUUAAUCUUUAUAUGAUGGAGAAAAAUAAGUUAAAUGAGUUUGAAAAAGCAUAUAAAAAUAAUUUAUCGACUUUAAAUCUAUUUUUUCUUUUUACUCUUCCUCUUCAUUUUACUUUUCUUAUAUUUUACCUCAAAAUUUUCAAAACCAAACAUAGUGUAAUGGUUACUUUUAAAAGAAAAUUAAAGAAAUUGGUCAAUCAAACACAUAGAUUUCCUUGUUGCAUUUUUUUUCCCAGAAUUCUCCUCAUUACUUGUUGAUAUAAGAUAUAACAAUAGAAAAAUAAAUAAACAUUUAUUAUCAAUAGAAAAUUGGAUACAGUUAAAAGAUUUUCUCUAUAAUAUUGAGGAGAGGACAGGAAGAAGUAGGUGAAAAACCUUAUCCAUGAAGUGGCUAAGAUCACUAGAACAUUUGCUAUAUGUGCAGUGGCUCCUUUGUUAAGAUAACAUUCUCCAUCAAUCAGGUCAUUAAUUGUUAUUAAGGCCAAUUCUCAACUUUUCUCCAAUUGAACAUACAUACAAACAAUCUAAGUGAUUAAAACAUACAAGGAUAAAAACUAUUUCACAAUUUUGAUAUCUUGAAUCAAUUUCAGAAAUGUUCAUUAGAAUAAGAUUCCCUGAUUGUUUUUUAAAUGAGCUUGAGAAAUUAUGAAUUUCCCUUUUCCCUUUUAGUCUCAUUUGACGAGUUAAAAUUAUGGUUGUACCAAUUGUGUAGGCUAUAGUUUUAGACCCAACAUAUUGAUACAAAAAAAACAAAGAUAAAAUAAUAUAUAUGCAAAGAUACAGAAGAUUUUCCAACUAUUCUUACAUGCAUGGAUGAAAGUGAUAAUUCCACUCUAUUAUAUAUAUAUAUUAUAAAGGAUAAAAACUAAACAACAAUAAUAUUAGGUUUGAAACAUCCCACGUUUUUCUACUCCGUGAAUCUACACCUUGAACCAUGAGCUCAUUGCUUUAUAGUAUAAUCUUCAUAAAUCUAUUUCCAUCUCAUAACCUUUUUCCUCUCAUAACCUAAAAUAUUUAUAUAAACAUUUCCAAUAACUUUCUAACAUUUUCAUGCUAAUAUUUUUCUAGACAAAAAAAAAAUUAAUAACAACAUUUAGUAAAUAAGACAAAUACAAUGGUGCCAACCAAAAAAAAAAAAAAAA
rnacentral:lncRNA from 1 species